rnacentral:misc_RNA from 1 species
UGAGAUGGAGUUAGUCUCUCAGCUUGAAGUAGAAACACUAGUCAAUGCUGCCCAGUGUCCAACAAGAGUUGAGCAGUGUAUUGCUAGCAAAGGACAAGGAUUGAAGGAAGGAUACAAAUGGUUGGUUAAAUCAGUUAUCUCAAAGUUCGUGGAUAUCGAGGGACGGGUGGUGAAGGACUCCGAGAAAGAGAAUAAGAAGGAGGAGGUGAGGAGGGAGAAUGCCAGGAGAAGGAUUGAGGAGAAGAGAAGGUUGCAGGAGCAGGAAGAGGAGGGAGAAGGAGAGGAAGCAUCAAAUUCAGAAGAUAUUUGUCCUCCUGGAUUUGUUCCGCUUGAUGAUCUUCGAAAACGCUGGUCAACUCAGGAUAAUCCAGUCUCAGCAGCCUCUAAUCUGUUCAGUAAUGGGGGCAAAGCUGUCUCGAAUCAGUUCAGUAAUGGGAACAUAUCAACCUCUAAUCUGUUCAGUAAUGGGGGCAUGACGGAGAAGGUUAGGAACGGAAACAGUUCUCCUAAUGGAACACACUUUUCUCAGCUCAGAUUGUCAGAUCUUCCAAUAAAUGGUUCCAACGGGAAACUAGAACUGGAACCAAUACACAGGCCAAAAAAGCGUAGUCUGCUCUCCAAACUACAAAAAACGAAUACAGAAAUUAAAUCUAUAAAAUCAAUAGACAGUCAGAUAUCGCAGGCCUGGAGUACGGCAGAAGAUCGAGGCGGAAUAAGAAAUUGGGGACUGGCGGAGGAAUUAUAAAAAGUGGAGUAAGAAACUGAGGACUGGCUCAGGAUUUUUGAUGAGUUCAGUUAGAAAAUAUAGGAUAUGUUCAAUAAAAAUAAAAAAUUUAACAUGAAAUAUGUAUUAUCUAACCAGUACUUACAAGUUUUUUGUACAAAUAAAUUCAUUAUGUUA